rnacentral:rRNA from 1 species
AUGAACGCUGGCGGCGUGCCUCAUACAUGCCAGUCGAGCGAACGGACGAGAAGCUUGCUUUUCUGAUGUUAGCGGCGGACGGGUGAGUAACACGUGGAUAACCUACCUAUAAGACUGGGAUAACUUCGGGAAACCGGAGCUAAUACCGGAUAAUAUUUUGAACCGCAUGGUUCAAAAGUGAAAGACGGUCUUGCUGUCACUUAUAGAUGGAUCCGCGCUGCAUUAGCUAGUUGGUAAGGUAACGGCUUACCAAGGCAACGAUGCAUAGCCGACCUGAGAGGGUGAUCGGCCACACUGGAACUGAGACACGGUCCAGACUCCUACGGGAGGCAGCAGUAGGGAAUCUUCCGCAAUGGGCGAAAGCCUGACGGAGCAACGCCGCGUGAGUGAUGAAGGUCUUCGGAUCGUAAAACUCUGUUAUUAGGGAAGAACAUAUGUGUAAGUAACUGUGAACAUCUUGACGGUACCUAAUCAGAAAGCCACGGCUAACUACGUG